AUGCUCACCUCAACAACACGUGUGAUAACAUUGGAACAAUAUGGAGGAAAUUAGCAUAGCCCUGGGCAAGGAUGACUCAAAAACUCAUGAAGUUUUUUAUUUUUAU